rnacentral:rRNA from 1 species
GUGGGGAAUAUUGGACAAUGGGGGGAACCCUGAUCCAGCCAUGCCGCGUGUGUGAAGAAGGCCUUUUGGUUGUAAAGCACUUUAAGCGAGGAGGAGGCUACCGAGAUUAAUACUCUUGGAUAGUGGACGUUACUCGCAGAAUAAGCACCGGCUAACUCUGUGCCAGCAGCCGCGGUAAUACAGAGGGUGCAAGCGUUAAUCGGAUUUACUGGGCGUAAAGCGCGCGUAGGUGGCAAAUUAAGUCAAAUGUGAAAUCCCCGAGCUUAACUUGGGAAUUGCAUUCGGUACUGGUUGGCUAGAGUAUGGGAGAGGAUGGUAGAAUUCCAGGUGUAGCGGUGAAAUGCGUAGAGAUCUGGAGGAAUACCGAUGGCGAAGGCAGCCAUCUGGCCUAAUACUGACACUGAGGUGCGAAAGCAUGGGGAGCAAACAGGAUUAGAUACCCCUGUAGUCC